AGAGUUUGAUCAUGGCUCAGAACCGAUCGCUGGCGGCAGGCCUAACACAUGCAAGUCGAACGGGUCUCUUCGGGACUAGUGGCGGACGGGUGAGUAACGCGUGGGAACGUGCCCCUUGGUACGGAAUAGCCCCGGGAAACUGGGAGUAAUACCGUAUGUGGUCGAGAGAUGAAAGAUUUAUCGCCCAGGGAUCGGCCCGCGUUGGAUUAGGUAGUUGGUGGGGUAAUGGCCUACCAAGCCGACGAUCCAUAGCUGGUUUGAGAGGAUGAUCAGCCACACUGGGACUGAGACACGGCCCAGACUCCUACGGGAGGCAGCAGUGGGGAAUCUUAGACAAUGGGGGAAACCCUGAUCUAGCCAUGCCGCGUGAUCGAUGAAGGCCUUAGGGUUGUAAAGAUCUUUCAGGUGGGAAGAUAAUGACUGUACCACCAGAAGAAGCCCCGGCUAACUCCGUGCCAGCAGCCGCGGUAAUACGGAGGGGGCUAGCGUUAUUCGGAAUUACUGGGCGUAAAGCGCACGUAGGCGGACCAGAAAGUCAGAGGUGAAAGCCCGGGGCUCAACCCCGGAACGGCCUUUGAAACUCCUGGUCUUGAGGUCGAGAGAGGUGAGUGGAAUUCCGAGUGUAGAGGUGAAAUUCGUAGAUAUUCGGAGGAACACCAGUGGCUAUUGCGGGCUCACUGGCUCGAUACUGAUGCUGAGG
rnacentral:rRNA from 1 species